ensembl:snoRNA
CUGCAUGUGGAAAUAUCUGCUCCUCAUUCCGUUAGGAGCAGGAUGACUUCCAUAACAUGCUAUAUUAAUAAAGGAGUUCUCAGGGCUACCAACCUUACAGUAGAGAUUGAGUAGUAGUAUAUUUCUCUUACACAA